GAUGAACGCUGGCGGCGUGCCUAAUACAUGCAAGUCGAGCGAACGGACGAGAAGCUUGCUUCUCUGAUGUUAGCGGCGGACGGGUGAGUAACACGUGGAUAACCUACCUAUAAGACUGGGAUAACUUCGGGAAACCGGAGCUAAUACCGGAUAAUAUUUUGAACCGCAUGGUUCAAAAGUGAAAGACGGUCUUGCUGUCACUUAUAGAUGGAUCCGCGCUGCAUUAGCUAGUUGGGAAGGUAACGGCUUACCAAGGCAACGAUGCAUAGCCGACCGGACAGGGUGAUCGGCCACAUGGGAACUGAGACACGGUCCAGACUCCUACGGGAGGCAGCAGUAGGGAAUCGUCCGCAAUGGGCGAAAGCCUGACGGAGCAACGCCGCGUGAGUGAUGAAGGUCUUCGGAGCGUAAAACUCUGUUAUUAGGGAAGAACAUAUGUGUAAGUAACUGUGCACAUCUUGACGGUACCUAAUCAGAAAGCCACGGCUAACUACGUG
rnacentral:rRNA from 1 species